rnacentral:rRNA from 1 species
AUACGUAGGUGGCAAGCGUUGUCCGGAAUUACUGGGUGUAAAGGGCGCGUAGACGGGCAAAUAAGUCAGAUGUGAAAUACCGGGGCUCAACUCCGGGGCUGCAUUUGAAACUAUUUGUCUUGAGUGCAGGAGAGGAAAGCGGAAUUCCAAGUGUAGCGGUGAAAUGCGUAGAGAUCGGGAGGAACACCAGUGGCGAAGGCGGGUAACUGGACUGCAACUGACGCUGAGGCGCGAAAGUGUGGGGAGCAAACAGGAUUAGAUACCCUGGUAGUCCACACUGUAAACGAUGAAUGCUAGGUGUAGGAGGUAUCGACCCCUUCUGUGCCGCAGUAAACACAGUAAGCAUUCCGCCUGGGGAGUACGGUCGCAAGAUUAAAACUCAAAUGAAUUGACGGGG